rnacentral:rRNA from 1 species
UGAGGAAUAUUGCGCAAUGGGCGAAAGCCUGACGCAGCGACGCCGCGUGGAGGAUGAAGGUUUUCGGAUUGUAAACUCCUGUUAAGUGGGAAGAAACGACAAAAUAUAAUACAUUUUGUAACUGACGGUACCAUUAAAGAAAGCACCGGCUAACUUCGUGCCAGCAGCCGCGGUAAUACGAGGGGUGCAAGCGUUAUUCGGAAUUAUUGGGCGUAAAGGGUGCGUAGGCGGCGUAUUAAGUCAACUGUUAAAACCUCCAGCCUAACUGGAGAUCAGCAGUAGAUACUGGUAUGCUAGAGGAUGGAAGAGAGAAGUGGAAUUCUUGGAGUAGCGGUGGAAUGCGUAGAUCUCAAGAGGAACACCAAUGGCGAAGGCAGCUUCUUGGUCCAUAUCUGACGCUGAUGCACGAAAGCGUGGGGGAGCAAACAGGAUUAGAUACCCUGGUAGUCCACGCCGUAAACGAUGAUCACUAGAUGUUAAUUCUGCUUGCAGAAUUAGUGUCGUAGCUAACGCGAUAAGUGAUCCGCCUGGGGGACUACGGUCGCAAGAUU